ensembl:lncRNA
CUCAAGCGGGGGGCGGAAGGGGGGGUUUCCGUCGGAGGCGGCCCUCGCUCUAGAGGCAGGGAAGUCUUUGACAGUGACAUGAGAAGGAACUACUAAAAGCAGCGGUGUUCAGACCAAGGCAGCUCCAGAGAUCCAACGUUGAUUUCGAGAGAGAAAGUGUGUGAAUGAGAAAGACUUCUGAGGACUACUGUUUCUUCUUUGACUUCUCUCUCGGCGGGCUCGUCUUGUUCUUAAUCUAAUUCGUGUAGCCUAUACUCUUUGAGACCUAAUCAAUGCAUCAUCAACUGAAAGAUGCAGCCAAGAGGCUGCUGCGCUGGCUGCGCUCACGGGAAUCCUCGGAGCCGGACAGCAAAACACCCGAGAUGGAAGUAGAGGAAGGGAAAGCCUUGGCACAUCGGUUCCAGGUGAUCGAAUCAUGUGUGGGACUGCUGGGCUGUUUGUGUGUGUCCUACGCCGUGUGGGCUCCUGGCUGGCUAGAUAGCCAAGGACUCUGGACCAUGAUCAACAGCACCAGCUCCAACAGCGACUGGACAAGAGAGCACAUGGUCAAAGCGCUGGAGUCUGAGCAGGUGUUUGCCGUGCUGGCCUUCGUGAUGUCGGUCUGCUCGGGGUGUCUGUGCCUCGUGUUUGCCCUCUGCUGGAGAUAUGAGACGGUGCACUCAUACUCCAACACGCGCUCUCUUCUGAUGGCAGGAACAGCUCUCUUCCCCACUACUCUGCUGCUCAUCACCCUCACCUCAACAGGUUUUUUCUUCAUCCUCUCGUGGGCACUCUUUACUCACCAGCAUCUGGCAGAGAUCCAAGAGGACAUCUCCCGUCUGGGCUCCUCCUAUUGGCUGGGGGCUGUUGGCUGGGCCCUCCUAUUGGCCGUGGAGCCUGUCGUGUUUCUGGUGGAGCAAGUCAUGGUACCGGACCUCCUUCCUUACAUGAUGCCGUCUGUGGGCUUAAGCACCGAAGGCUACAACACCAUCUUUAUGGGGCGCUCACACAGCGAGGGCCAUAACGCCAGGCGGCCGCAGAAGCAGCGGGGUUUCACGUCACUGUCCCUGAACCCCCAUCACUCCCUCCGCAUGGAUGUGUGAUGGCUUGUGCGUAGUCACACUCACGAGCUGUGGCAGAGGCCGGGAGGUACAGAGCUGUGUUCAUGCAAUGUGUAAAACUCACUUGCCGACACCUUGAGACAAGUGCGAGGGUGCUACUGACGCUAGACCCUGUGGGGUUUAAGCCGGCUUGCUAGCACGCCUGCUUACCGUGUCAGGACUUUGCAGGAUUUCCCCGCAGUGCAGGACUGGGUUUCUCCCUAUACAGGUUACCGAAGCAGGGAUGUCCUUGGAUGAGUGAGAGGGAAGAGCAGAGGUGAGGAAGAGGAGCUACUUCCUCCUCCUCUGACGUUGGUGUCUGAUAAUACUCAUGCUAAGUGUGUAUUAAGCUGCUUCUGGUGCUGCUUCAGUGUUAUGUGUGAGGUACAGAGGGGGGCACUUUUAAACAUUAAUGUUUUUACUACAAAUAUAUUUUUUAAAUCCACAACCCUGUCCUGAGCUCUAUUUGUGAUUAAUGUGGCUUCACUGGCUGUGGAAUAUACACUUUAAACGACCAUCUGCUUGCUAAAGCUUUUAUUACACUUGACUGUGAGGAGUAGUAUUCUAUUUUCACUUGCAGUCACACUACAGCCAGAGAGGAUAUGUGCAAUCUAUGCUAUGUAUGAACAUUACCUUGUGCAGUGGGGCAAUGACAGAUUCUGGAUUUUCCUAUGAAAACCUGGUUACUGCCAUUGCGUUUUGGUUAAGCUGUUCCACAGAUUCAGCUGCAGUAUCACAUAUAACGUAAUAGAAAAGAUGACAUUUUUAAUCACCAUUUUCAAAGAAUGCCUCAUUGAAAAAAAGACAAGCUUGUUGCUGGUUUAAGUCCUUUUGCUGUUUGCUCCACUGUGUUGGUCUUUUGUUGGUUUUAACUCAGUGAUUCUAAUGUUAUAGUGAUUUAUGCUAAGAGACCAGCAAGACCUUGCUGAUAAGGCUGUGGAAAACACACACUUGUCUGUUGCUGGUUUUUGACCGUCUUGGAGUAGCAUGGUUUCUAGUCACC